AUUGAACGCUGGCGGCAGGCCUAACACAUGCAAGUCGGACGAGCGGCGGACGGGUGAGUAAUGUCUGGGAAACUGCCCGAUGGAGGGGGAUAACUACUGGAAACGGUAGCUAAUACCGCAUACCAUCGGAUGUGCCCAGAUGGGAUUAGCUAGUAGGUGAGGUAACGGCUUACCUAGGCGACGAUCCCUAGCUGGUCUGAGAGGAUGACCAGCCACACUGGAACUUGGACACGGUCCAGACUCCUACGGGAGGCAGCAGUGGGGAAUAUUGCACAAUGGGCGCAAGCCUGAUGCAGCCAUGCCGCGUGUAUGAAGAAGGCCUUCGGGUUGUAAAGUACUUUCAGCGGGGAGGCGUUACCGACAGAAGAAGCACCGGCUAACUCCGUGCCAGCAGCCGCGGUAAUAC
rnacentral:rRNA from 1 species